CCUCUCCAGGAAUUGGAUGCUUGAAAAUUAAAAAGGAAAUCUCUUGCUCUCUGCCAGUCUGCCUUGCCUUCGUCUCUCGUCUCUUUCCACCUCUCCAGGAACUUUUCUAAGAUCUAGCCAGUGGUAUUUGAAGAGAAGGGUACCAUUCGAGCUUCAAUGGUAGUUUCUUAACAUCACUGUGAGUUUCUUUCUCUCUCUCUCUCU